GUGGGGAAUUUUGGACAAUGGGCGCAAGCCUGAUCCAGCAAUGCCGCGUGCAGGAAGAAGGCCUUCGGGUUGUAAACUGCUUUUGUACGGAACGAAAAGGCUCUGGUUAAUACCUGGGGCUCAUGACGGUACCGUAAGAAUAAGCACCGGCUAACUACGUGCCAGCAGCCGCGGUAAUACGUAGGUUGCAAGCGUUAAUCGGAAUUACUGGGCGUAAAGCGUGCGCAGGCGGUUUUGUAAGACAGACGUGAAAUCCCCGGGCUCAACCUGGGAAUGGCGUUUGGGACUGCAAAGCUGGAGUGCGGCAGAGGGGGAUGGAAUUCCGCGUGUAGCAGUGAAAUGCGUAGAUAUGCGGAGGAACACCGAUGGCGAAGGCAAUCCCCUGGGCCUGCACUGACGCUCAUGCACGAAAGCGUGGGGAGCAAACAGGAUUAGAAACCCUUGUAGUCC
rnacentral:rRNA from 1 species